AAGAAAUUAAAUUGUGGUAGUUAGUUACGGUCAAAUAAUGAUGUGCAGUAACAAUAUAUCUAACUACAAGCUGUUAGAAAUACUUAAAAAUGGAAAGGUUGGAACGGUUUACAAAGCAGAAGAUUUAAACAAUAAAUGCUUGGCUGUUAAAAAGGUUUCUGUGGAUCAGCCAAUGGAAAAGCUUAAACUAUUGUUUAACGAAGUUUUAACUGUUCGUCGGCUUCAACAUAGAAAUAUAAAUACUAUCGUCAGUUGUUUUUUGUACAAGCAGUAUGUUUAUUUGACCUACAAUUUUAUGUGUUUUGGAAAUUGUGAAAUGCUGCUAAAGAACGUGUAUACUUCUGGGUUUCCGGAGGUUACAAUUGCACUAAUUUUGAAGGAUGUAUUGUCAGCACUUACUUAUAUUCACUCCGAGCAUUAUGUUCAUGGAUCAGUAAGGGCUAAGCACAUACUCUUAAGUCCCAGAAAAGCUGUUCUAUCAAAUUUUAGAUACUGUCAAAGUUUUAUUAGUCAAGGUGAAAAAAAACCGUUUUUAUUUGGAUCAACGGUUGGAAUAGAAAAAGAGUUGUAUUGGACAGCACCAGAAGUUUUAUAUCAAAACCUUUCUGGUUAUACUGAAAAAAUAGAUAUUUAUUCCAUCGGAAUUACUUGUUGUGAAAUGUCAAACGGGUUUCAGCCCUUUAAAGACACAGAAUUAACAUACAUGUAUAUUGAAAAAGUGCGUGGAAGUCUGCAAGUGCUACUGGAUAAAAACAGCCUAUUGGAAAAUCAAGGUUCACUGGAGCACACAAAUAAACGGAUCGUUCGUGAUGUAAUUGUAAACAAAUCAUUUUCAGAAGACUUCCAUCAAUUUGUUGAGCUAUGCUUAAAUAAAAAUCCAUUGUCUCGAUGGGCAGCAUCAAAAUUAAUGACACACUCGUUUCUUAAGCAAUGCCGGAAUACCAGUCUUUUAGACCAAUUAAAAGACUUAGGCAAAAAAAUGUCAAAUUUUAAAAUAAAUGAACCUUUUAGGGAGCUAUCCUUGCUUUCGACAUCGACAUUUGUGUCCACGUUUCACGAAAGGAAAUUACAAUAGAGACUUAAUAGAAUAGCGAACAGCAGACCGCUAAACAAAAAGUUCAAGUGCGAGAAUGCAAAAGAGAUGAAAUAUUUUGUGACGCUCGGUGCAGCCCUCAACCAAAUGAUACAAUAUGGAAAUUUUAAGAAACUGUUUUCUUGUUUUUCGGAUCACUUUGGUGCAAUUUUCGAGGGUUGGUGUCAGCCCAGUAGCGCAUAUUUUGUUUGUUAACCGACCCACAUAAAUGAAAAUGGGCUUCAUCACUAAAAAAAAAAAACAAUAGACACACGCGUUCAUCCGAGAAUUGAAGUCACGUUCUGAAAGUUCUUGUACUAUCGCCAUCUUAUACGGAUGAAAUUGAAGAUCAUCAUGAAGAAUUCUUCUUACAGAACGAUCGGAUAGUCAAAGGGGAGAUGUGUGUUUGCACGCAGAACGCCGUUGAGAUCGCAAUAUUGACGCUCUCACUACAUCAAUGUUCUCAGGUGAUCUAACGGGUCGAGGGACUCUAUUUCUUCGUUUUGACGCUCUUACCGUUUGCCUGAAUGUAGUGACCCAUGUAACAAUUGAUUUGCGGUCUGAGACGGGAGCCAACGGGUCUAAAUUAAUGCGAUUCCGAAAUGCACGCUGUGUUUAAUUAACCGACCAUCCGCUUGAAAAGUAUGCCUCAACGACAAAGGCGCGAUCCUCACUAUUUCAACGCAUGACGGAGAUUGAACCGUGUCGGGAUAAAACUUUACAGUCGCCCCUCUUGAACGGGACCACCAGUGUUCCGUUAAGACAUCAACUAAAAAAAUAAGAUAUGCUGCCGCACCCUGUAUAUUACCAUAAUCAAAUCAAACACAUACUAGUCUUACCGUUAUUAUGUUUAUCUAACUGAAUGAAAACUGAUGAAAAUAAUCUGAAUGAACAAAAUAAAUUUUUAUAUGAAGUUGGAAUAUUAUA